rnacentral:rRNA from 1 species
UGGGGAAUAUUGGACAAUGGGGGGAACCCUGAUCCAGCCAUGCCGCGUGUGUGAAGAAGGCCUUAUGGUUGUAAAGCACUUUAAGCGAGGAGGAGGGUACUGGUAUUAAUACUACCAGGUACUGGACGUUACUCGCAGAAUAAGCACCGGCUAACUCUGUGCCAGCAGCCGCGGUAAUACAGAGGGUGCGAGCGUUAAUCGGAUUUACUGGGCGUAAAGCGUGCGUAGGCGGCUAAUUGAGUCGGAUGUGAAAUCCCCGAGCUUAACUUGUGAAUUGCAUUCGAUACUGGUUAGCUAGAGUGUGGGAGAGGAUGGUAGAAUUCCAGGUGUAGCGGUGAAAUGCGUAGAGAUCUGGAGGAAUACCGAUGGCGAAGGCAGCCAUCUGGCCUAACACUGACGCUGAGGUACGAAAGCAUGGGGAGCAAACAGG